GAUACCCGCGUAGUCCCAGCCGUAAACUAUGCGCGUUAGGUGUAUCGGUGACCACGAGUUACCGAGGUGCCGAAGGGAAACCGUGAAACGUGCCGCCUGGGAAGUACGGUCGCAAGGCUGAAACUUAAAGGAAUUGGCGGGGAGCACCACAACGGGUGGAGCCUGCGGUUUAAUUGGACUCAACGCCGGGAAGCUCACCGGAUAAGACAGCGGAAUGAUUGCCGGGCUGAAGACUCUGCAUGACUAGCUG
rnacentral:rRNA from 1 species